AAAUAAUCACUAAAUUAUUGUUUUUUUUUAAAUAAUAUAUUUAAUUGUUUCUGAAGAAUUUUUAUUUGUAAUUCUUUGUCUGUCUAGUGCAUGUAUUUUGUGUGCGAUCCCUUGGAAGCUAUCGGGAAAUUUCUGCUGCCAUGCUUUUCUAGUUCAAGGAAGAUGCCAAACAUGGUGUUUCGCAUCUUGCUCUUUCCAUUCGUGUCGCAGGUGCUCAUAAUUGCGUAACUAAUUGAUAAAAUUCUUGACUAGACUUUGUGUAGCUAUAAAUCUUAAACGAGUUAGAAUAAACGAUGCUUACAUUAAACUGGACUAAUGGAUGGAAUGAACUGAUCGGUGGAACAGAUCUUUAUGAAAGUUUCUUCCAAUUUCUAUGUAUUUCAUGUCAAUUUGGACGAAACCGAUGAUGAAGUAUUGUAAUGUGAAGUCGAUUUUUCUUUAGAUUUUUUUUCACAUACACAUAUUUUACAAGCAAAGGGUUAAGCAGUACAGUGAAGGUGUUUCUCAGGCAAAGCCUGCAUAUGAAAACAGUGCAAUGUAAAGGGAUCUACUUUUCCACAAUUCCUAAUAUGGACUUAAUCAAUAAACGAGCUUUCCGUCUUAGAUGUAGCCGUUGUCGAGGAAACACGGCAGCUCUUUGCUGUAUAUGCAUAUACAUAUAUGUAUAUAUACACGCACUACACACAUGUAUGCAUACGUCAUGUGUCGCGUCUGUAUAUGUGUGCAUAUCUUGUAAAAAGCAUUCUGUUCAAAGACUUAUAUCAGAGUGAUUUGUCGCUCUGUUUGUAAAGUCACUGUAAAUGUAUAUUAUUUCUAGCGUUGUGCCUCGUAAUUGCUUCUAUGUGAGUUGAAGAUCGUGUAUAAUAGGAAAUUCGAGAAUGCUCCAUUCUAUCGAACUGCCGAUAAAUUCUAUUCAAUUAUAAAUUUCGAUUUUCCUACCGACAUUCCGAAUUUCCUUCGAAUCGUUCUUCGAAUCAUCACUUAGAAGCAGACUCAUUUCUGUUUGUUUCCUUCUCCUCGACGUUGUUUGAGUAUCAUUCUGGAAACAAGCGAAAAUUGCUGUUCAGUUGUAAAUAUAGCGUAACGUUCAUAAUGAUAAGGGUAAACAAUAGCCUUAGGGGUAUUGAUAACAUUAUUAUCAUUAUUGAUAUUCACAACUACGCGAUAGCUUUAAUGAUUUAUCGUACGAUCGGCAGUUAAUAAAACUCCAAGGACUUCGCUUGACCCCAUUUUCCUGGACAGUUUGAUAACGUGUAUAAUGGUCAUGAAAGUCUUGGAAAUUCCAUUUAUACAAAAUGUAUAAUACACGAUAUUGAGUAUCUUUGUACGUUGCAUUGUUCUCUAUACCGCAUAGAGAUUAGUGGCACGUCCGAAAUUCAAUUGUUUAUGUUUUUAUGAGUUAAAGGAAGUUGCUUCUUUGCGUUCUGGUAAUGCGUUUUUAAUUAUUUCUUAAGAGAUCUUUCGUACAAAGAUAACUUUACACUUAAUAGAAGAAAGUAACACGCUGAAGAUGCCAUAUUUAGGAAUACUUUACUGAUAAGAAAUUGAUAGUUUACGAUGGAACAUCGAGUCAUUUUGUACAGGCGUUGUCAUUCUUAUUUUCGUUUUCUUAAUAAUGGAAUGUUUCUGAUUCUGAGUCGAAAGCUCUGGUUGUGAGAUAAAAGUCGACAUGCGCUGGAUUGAUUGUCACAUGCAAGACGUGGGAAGUGGGUAUAAUUGGCAUUUUUCUUUCUUGUCGAAUGUAAGAUCUAAAUAUGUUGUAAGACAACAUUUGGCGGUCAACAAGCAGCAAUUUUUUCACCUAUACGUAGAAGUUCUCUCUUUCUCGUGGGGAGUUAACACUCGUUGAUAGUCUACGCUUGGCGUUUUACAUUCUUACUUUAUAUAGUUUACAUCCUAUAUGGAUUAAAAAAUGAACAAUUUCGUUAAAAACAGUUUCUCAUUAUUUAUAUUUAAAAAUGACGUAAUAUUUUUUAUAAAUAAACACUGAGAUUGUAAAUUAAUAAGAAACGAUGUGAGCAUAUCUUUCCUAAGUAAAUUAGAUUUUAUGUUGUAGGUAAUGAUUUUUCGUGAAUCGAUGACUUCCGUCUUUCUUUUUAUUGAAGCAUGUAAUUUAUACUUACUGCCAAAAAAACCAGAUGUUUCCAGUGAAGUUGCCAUUACGCAAGACCGACUGUUGUGUAUAGAAAUAGAGAACGUAGUGUGUAGGGCGCUGAAAUUAAUCGAUUAAUAGUAAAAAUAAAUUAAUACGUUUUUAUAUUAAUAAAUUGAUAGUCAUGUAGGAUAAUUGGAUAAGUCGAACGAACAUUGAUAUUUAUUGUCCAUUAAUCGAUUAAUCGUGCAGCCUUGGUAGGAAAAAUCGCGAGGAAUCACUUCUGUAUCAUAUCUUUUUCACAGUAACAGUAGAGUUCGUACGCUGAUCAUGAUGCGUAGGGAUGCGUACACGUCACGAGUACAGGGCACCAAAAAAUUUUCUACGAACCAUUUCUUUUUUUAUUCUGAUGCACAUUAAUCGCAACGUGACGUUUUGUGUCGACAAAUUGUAUCGUCAUACUCUAUAAGCACGGGCACGGGAAAACCGUGAUACAACAUAAUAAUGUGCGAUCGCGACGUGGCGAGAAAUGGUGCUGUUAUUUUUCGCGGGCAUAAGAAGCUUGUAUAUUUUUGCGUCUCUUGUUUGUAAGAUAAUCAUUUACAAAUAAAAUUACAAAGAAACAAGA